rnacentral:rRNA from 1 species
UACAGAGGUCUCAAGCGUUGUUCGGAUUCAUUGGGCUUAAAGGGCGCGUAGGCGGCCGCUCAAGUCGGGGGUGAAAUCUUUCAGCUUAACUGGAAAAUAGCCUCCGAUACUGGGCGGCUGGAGGGAGAUAGGGGUGCGCGGAACUUCCGGUGGAGCGGUGAAAUGCGUAGAUAUCGGAAGGAACGCCGGUGGCGAAAGCGGCGCACUGGAUCUCAUCUGACGCUGAGGCGCGAAAGCCAGGGGAGCAAACGGG